GGAAAAGGCUGUUCGGAGGAGAGUAAAGUAGAGUUGAAGGAUGUGUUGGGAGUUUCUUCAGAAGCACUCAGUGAGAGGUACCUAGGACUACCAACACUGAUUGGGAAAUCCAAAGAAGGCACUUUCAAGUAUGUCACUGAGAGCUCGAAAGGAAAAGUGGGCGAAUGGAAGGGGCAGGGGCUUUCCAAAGCGGCAAGAGAAGUGCUUGUCAAAUCCGGUCUUCAAGCUGUACCUACUUUCACGAUGAGUUGUUUUCACCUCACAAAGAAAACGUGCCAGAACCUGACUUCGAUCUCUUCGAAAUUC
rnacentral:rRNA from 1 species